GACGAACGCUGGCGGCGUGCUUAACACAUGCAAGUCGAACGGAAAGGCCCUGCUUUUGUGGGGUGCUCGAGUGGCGAACGGGUGAGUAACACGUGAGUAACCUGCCCUUGACUUUGGGAUAACUUCAGGAAACUGGGGCUAAUACCGGAUAGGAGCUCCUGCUGCAUGGUGGGGGUUGGAAAGUUUCGGCGGUUGGGGAUGGACUCGCGGCUUAUCAGCUUGUUGGUGGGGUAGUGGCUUACCAAGGCUUUGACGGGUAGCCGGCCUGAGAGGGUGACCGGCCACAUUGGGACUGAGAUACGGCCCAGACUCCUACGGGAGGCAGCAGUGGGGAAUAUUGCACAAUGGGCGGAAGCCUGAUGCAGCAACGCCGCGUGCGGGAUGACGGCCUUCGGGUUGUAAACCGCUUUCGCCUGUGACGAAGCGUGAGUGACGGUAAUGGGUAAAGAAGCACCGGCUAACUACGUGCCAGCAGCCGCGGUGAUACGUAGGGUGCGAGCGUUGUCCGGAUUUAUUGGGCGUAAAGGGCUCGUAGGUGGUUGAUCGCGUCGGAAGUGUAAUCUUGGGGCUUAACCCUGAGCGUGCUUUCGAUACGGGUUGACUUGAGGAAGGUAGGGGAGAAUGGAAUUCUGGUGGAGCGGUGGAAUGCGCAGAUAUCAGGAGGAACACCAGUGGCGAAGGCGGUUCUCUGGGCCUUUCCUGACGCUGAGGAGCGAAAGCGUGGGGAGCGAACAGGCUUAGAUACCCUGGUAGUCCACGCUGUAAACGGUGGGUACUAGGUGUGGGGUCCAUUCCACGGGUUCCGUGCCGUAGCUAACGCUUUAAGUACCCCGCCUGGGGAGUACGGCCGCAAGGCUAAAACUCAAAGGAAUUGACGGGGCCCCGCACAAGCGGCGGAGCAUGCGGAUUAAUUCGAUGCAACGCGUAGAACCUUACCUGGGUUUGACAUGGAUCGGGAGUGCUCAGAGAUGGGUGUGCCUCUUUUGGGGUCGGUUCACAGGUGGUGCAUGGCUGUCGUCAGCUCGUGUCGUGAGAUGUUGGGUUAAGUCCCGCAACGAGCGCAACCCCUGUUCACUGUUGCCAGCACGUUAUGGUGGGGACUCAGUGGAGACCGCCGGGGUCAACUCGGAGGAAGGUGGGGAUGACGUCAAGUCAUCAUGCCCCUUAUGUCCAGGGCUUCACGCAUGCUACAAUGGCUGGUACAGAGAGUGGCGAGCCUGUGAGGGUGAGCGAAUCUCGGAAAGCCGGUCUCAGUUCGGAUUGGGGUCUGCAACUCGACCUCAUGAAGUCGGAGUCGCUAGUAGUCGCAGAUCAGCAACGCUGCGGUGAAUACGUUCCCGGG
rnacentral:rRNA from 1 species